rnacentral:rRNA from 1 species
GUAGGGAAUAUUGGGCAAUGGAAGAGAUUCUGACCCAGCCAUGCCGCGUGCAGGAUGAAGGCUUUCUGAGUCGUAAACUGCUUUUGCCAGGGAAGAAUAAGGCCCAUGCGUGGGUCGACGACGGUACCUGGUGAAUAAGCACCGGCUAACUCCGUGCCAGCAGCCGCGGUAAUACGGAGGGUGCAAGCGUUGUCCGGAUUUAUUGGGUUUAAAGGGUGCGUAGGCGGCCGAUUAAGUCUGGGGUGAAAGCCCGUUGCUCAACAACGGAACUGCCCUGGAAACUGGUUGGCUUGAGUACAGACGAGGUUGGCGGAAUGGAUGCUGUAGCGGUGAAAUGCAUAGAUAGCAUCCAGAACCCCGAUUGCGAAGGCAGCUGACUAGGCUGUAACUGACGCUGAGGCACGAAAGCGUGGGGAGCGAACAGGAUUAGAUACCCGAGUAGUCC